AUUGAACGCUGGUGGCAUGCCUUACACAUGCAAGUCGAACGGCAGCGCGGGUGCUUGCACCUGGCGGCGAGUGGCGAACGGGUGAGUAAUAUAUCGGAACGUGCCCUAGAGUGGGGGAUAACUAGUCGAAAGAUUAGCUAAUACCGCAUACGAUCUACGGAUGAAAGUGGGGGAUCGCAAGACCUCAUGCUCCUGGAGCGGCCGAUAUCUGAUUAGCUAGUUGGUGGGGUAAAAGCCUACCAAGGCGACGAUCAGUAGCUGGUCUGAGAGGACGACCAGCCACACUGGGACUGAGACACGGCCCAGACUCCUACGGGAGGCAGCAGUGGGGAAUUUUGGACAAUGGGGGCAACCCUGAUCCAGCAAUGCCGCGUGUGUGAAGAAGGCCUUCGGGUUGUAAAGCACUUUUGUCAGGAACGAAACGGUGAGGGCUAUUAUCCUUAGCUAAUGACGGUACCUGAAGAAUAAGCACCGGCUAACUACGUGCCAGCCGCCGCCGUAA
rnacentral:rRNA from 1 species